AUUGAACGCUGGCGGCAUGCCUCACACAUGCAAGUCGAACGGCAGCACGGGGCAACCUGGUGGCGAGUGGCGAACGGGUGAGUAAUGCAUCGGAACGUACCUUCCAGUGGGGGAUAACGUAGCGAAAGUUACGCUAAUACCGCAUAUUCUGUGAGCAGGAAAGCAGGGGAUCGCAAGACCUUGCGCUGAUUGAGCGGCCGAUGUCAGAUUAGCUAGUUGGUGAGGUAAAGGCUCACCAAGGCGACGAUCUGUAGCGGGUCUGAGAGGAUGAUCCGCCACACUGGAACUGAGACACGGUCCAGACUCCUACGGGAGGCAGCAGUGGGGAAUUUUGGACAAUGGGGGCAACCCUGAUCCAGCCAUGCCGCGUGAGUGAAGAAGGCCUUCGGGUUGUAAAGCUCUUUCGGCCGGGAAGAAAUCGCACGGGCUAAACCCUGUGUGGAUGACGGUACCGGAAUAAGAAGCACCGGCUAACUACGUGCCAGCCGCCGCAGUAAGAC
rnacentral:rRNA from 1 species